rnacentral:rRNA from 1 species
GACGAACCGUGCGAACGUUAUUCGGAAUCACUGGGCUUAAAGCGCGUGUAGGCGGACGGGGACGUCGGUCGCUGAAAUCCCCCGGCUCAACCGGGGAACGGGCGCCGAAACGCCCCGUCUCGAGGGACGUAGGGGGACCUGGAACUUCCGGUGGAGCGGUGAAAUGCGGUUGAGAUCGGGAAGGAACGCCCGUGGCGAAAGCGAGGUCCUGGACGUCGACUGACGCUGAGACGACGAAAGCUAGGGGAGCGAACGGGAUUAAGAUGA